GUGACCAUUAAUACCAACUCAAAUGUACCGCAUCUCAUUUGACCUGGAAAGUUAAAUGAGUUUUGGCAAGAGUACUACUAAGAUAAGUGACCUGUGCGAGAAGUCCUCGCAUGCUUUCCU
rnacentral:rRNA from 1 species